UUAUUAUGAGAGUUUGAUCCUGGCUCAGGACGAACGCUGGCGGCGUGCCUAAUACAUGCAAGUCGAACGCUUCUUUCCUCCCGAGUGCUUGCACUCAAUUGGAAAGAGGAGUGGCGGACGGGUGAGUAACACGUGGGUAACCUACCCAUCAGAGGGGGAUAACACUUGGAAACAGGUGCUAAUACCGCAUAACAGUUUAUGCCGCAUGGCAUAAGAGUGAAAGGCGCUUUCGGGUGUCGCUGAUGGAUGGACCCGCGGUGCAUUAGCUAGUUGGUGAGGUAACGGCUCACCAAGGCCACGAUGCAUAGCCGACCUGAGAGGGUGAUCGGCCACACUGGGACUGAGACACGGCCCAGACUCCUACGGGAGGCAGCAGUAGGGAAUCUUCGGCAAUGGACGAAAGUCUGACCGAGCAACGCCGCGUGAGUGAAGAAGGUUUUCGGAUCGUAAAACUCUGUUGUUAGAGAA
rnacentral:rRNA from 1 species